GACGAACGCUGGCGGCGUGCCUAAUACAUGCAAGUCGAGCGGAUUGAUGGGAGCUUGCUCCCUGAUAUCAGCGGCGGACGGGUGAGUAACACGUGGGCAACCUGCCUAUAAGACUGGGAUAACUUCGGGAAACCGGAGCUAAUACCGGAUAAUCCCUUUCCUCUCAUGAGGAAAGGCUGAAAGAUGGUUUAAGCUAUCACUUAUAGAUGGGCCCGCGGCGCAUUAGCUAGUUGGUGAGGUAACGGCUCACCAAGGCAACGAUGCGUAGCCGACCUGAGAGGGUGAUCGGCCACACUGGGACUGAGACACGGCCCAGACUCCUACGGGAGGCAGCAGUAGGGAAUCUUCCGCAAUGGACGAAAGUCUGACGGAGCAACGCCGCGUGAGUGAUGAAGGUUUUCGGGUCGUAAAACUCUGUUGUUAGGGAAGAACAAGUACGAGAGUAACUGCUCGUACCUUGACGGUACCUAACCAGAAAGCCACGGCUAACUACGUGCCAGCCGCCGCCGUAA
rnacentral:rRNA from 1 species